UGGGGAAUCUUGGACAAUGGGCGCAAGCCUGAUCCAGCCAUGCCGCGUGCAGGAUGAAGGCCUUCGGGUUGUAAACUGCUUUUGUACGGAACGAAAAGGUGCCUUCUAAUAAAGGGCGCUCAUGACGGUACCGUAAGAAUAAGCACCGGCUAACUACGUGCCAGCAGCCGCAGUAAUACGUAGGGUGCGAGCGUUAAUCGGAAUUACUGGGCGUAAAGCGUGCGCAGGCGGUUUUGUAAGACAGAGGUGAAAUCCCCGGGCUCAACCUGGGAACUGCCUUUGUGACUGCAAGGCUGGAGUGCGGCAGAGGGGGAUGGAAUUCCGCGUGUAGCAGUGAAAUGCGUAGAUAUGCGGAGGAACACCGAUGGCGAAGGCAAUCCCCUGGGCCUGCACUGACGCUCAUGCACGAAAGCGUGGGGAGCAAAC
rnacentral:rRNA from 1 species